CGGCGGCUCCCGCGUCCGCAGCCCCGCCUCCCGCCGCUGCAGCCCGCCCCGUCCCCGCCUCCCUCCGCAGCCCCGGCGGCGACCGAGUCUCGGGGCCCGGUGGCCGCUGCUUGCGGGACGCUAGCCGCGCCGUCGCCCAGCCCGGGUAGGGGGACGCCGCCGUCGCGGGCGGGAGGGAGGACUCCGGCCGCCCGGACUGGAGGGCGCGGGCGGGCGGGUCGGCAAGCGGCCGCCCCGGCUGUCGCCUGCCCCGUGUCGUCGCUGCGCCGGCCUCGCCCCGCGCGCGGGGACAGGUGCCCCGGCCGGGGUCUGCCGGGAAGAUGGCGACCCCGGGCAUGAGCUGGCAGCAGCACUAUUACGGCGGCUCUGCGGCCGGGGCGGCCAAAUUCGCGCCCUCGCCGGCCGCCGCGCAGCUGGCCGGGAACAGCAUGGACUACUACAGCCAGGACAUGCACCUGAAGAUGAGCAAGAAGAUCGCCCAGCUCACCAAGGUAAUAUAUGCUUUGAAUACCAAAAACGAUGAACACGAGUCUGCAAUUCAGGCCCUCAAAGAUGCUCACGAAGAAGAAAUCCAACAAAUUCUUGCAGAAACAAGAGAAAAAAUACUGCUCUAUAAAAGCAAGGUAACAGAAGAGGUAGACCUUAGGAGAAAGAUUCAAGUUCUGGAAGCGUCUUUGGAAGACCAUGUGAAGAUGAAACAGCAAGCUCUGACGGAGUUUGAAGCCUUUAAGCACAGAGUUGCGGACAUGCAGCUUUGUGCAGAGGCCCAGCAUGUCCAGCGCAUAGUAACCAUGUCGCGGGAGGUCGAAGAGAUUAGAAGGAAGUUUGAAGAGAGGUUGCGGAGCUUCGGACAGCUCCAAGUACAGUUUGAGAAGGACAAACGGUUGGCCCUGGAAGAUUUGAGAACCACCCACAGACGGGAAGUCCAAGAGCUGUUGAAGUCGCAGCAGGACCACAGUGCUUCGGUGAACAAGGGGCAGGAGAAGGCAGAGGAGCUGCACAGGAUGGAGGUGGAGGCCUUGAACAGCACCCUGGAAGAGCUGCGACUUGAAAAGAAGAAGCUCAUCGAGGAAUAUGAAGGCAGGCUGAACAAAGCCCAGGUAUUUUACGAGCGCGAGCUGGAUAACUUGAAAAGGUCACAGCUCUUCACAGCGGAAAGCCUGCAGGCUAGCAGGGACAAGGAGGCCGAGCUUCGCAAAGAGUUCCAGGGACAAGAAGCCGUUCUGCGGAAAACCAUAGGAAAAUUGAAGACCGAGUUGCAGAUGGUGCAGGAUGAAGCCAGCAGUCUGCUUGACAAAUGCCAAAAGCUGCAGGUGGCCCUGACUGCGGCAGAGAGCAAUGUACAGGUUCUUCAAAAACAGCUUGAUGAUGCCAAGGAGGGAGAAAUGGCCUUGUUGAACAAGCACAAGGAAGUGGAAAGUGAGCUAGCAGCUGCCCGGGAGCGUUUACAACAGCAAGCGUCAGACCUUGUCCUCAAAGCUAGCCAUAUUGGAAUGCUUCGAGCAACUCAGAUGACCCAGGAAGUUACAAUUAAAGAUUUAGAGUCAGAAAAAUCCAGAGCCAACGAGAGAUUAUGUCAGCUUGAAGAGGAAAGAGCUUUUCUGCAAAGCAGAACGCAGAGUCUGGAUGAGGAACAGAAGCAGCAGGUGCUGGAGCUGGAGAAGAAAGUAAAUGAAGCAAAGAGAAGUCAGCAAGAAUAUUAUGAAAUGGAGCUUAAAAACCUGCAAAAUAGAUUGGAAGGCGAGGUGGCCCAGCUGAACGAGGCUCACUCGAAGACUUUAGAGGAGCUGGCCUGGAAGCACCACAUGGCCAUGGAGGCUGUGCACAGCAACGCCAGCCGAGAUAAGAAAAAGCUGCAAAUGGAAUUGGAGGAACAAUACAAAAAGGAGAAACUGAGUCUGGAAGAGGAUAAAAAUCAACUUCAACUAGAGCUAGAAAAUGUAAAGCAAGUGCUGGAAGACAAGCUGACUUCAGCCAAUCAGGAGAUUGGUCGCCUCCAAGAUCUGGUAAGGAAAAGUGAACAAGGUCUUGGCUCAGCUGAAGGACUCAUUGCUAGUCUUCAGGACUCCCAAGAGAGGCUUCAGAGUGAACUGGACCUGACGAAAGGCAGGCUAAAAGAGACCAAGGAGGCCCUAUUAAAUGUUGAGGCUGAGCUAGAACAAGAGAGGCACCAGCAUGAACAAACACUUGCUGCCAUGAAGGAAGAAGAGAAGCUGAGGGUGGACAGGAUGGCCCAUGACCUAGAGAUAAAGUGGACUGAAAAUCUCAGACAAGAGUGCUCUAAACUUCGCCAGGAGCUAAGGCUUCAGCACGAAGAGGACAAGAAGUCUGCGAUGUCUCAACUGCUGCAGCUGAAAGAGCGAGAGAAAACUGCUGCCAGGGAUUCUUGGCAGAAGAAGGUGGAAGACCUUCUAAACCAGCGGCACUCUCUGGGUGAAGCUUUGCAUAAAUCUAUCAACAAUAUCUCCCUGCUCAAGCAGAACCUGGAGCUGCAGCUUUGCCAGUCACAGACAUCUCUGCAGCAGCUGCAGGCGCAGUUCACACAAGAGCGCCAGCGACUCACACAGGAGCUGGAGGAGCUGGAGGAGCAGCAUCAGCAGAGACACAAGUCCCUCAAAGAAGCACAUGUGCUCGCCUUCCAAACCAUGGAAGAAGAGAAGGAAAAGGAACAAAGGGCUCUGGAGAAUCACUUACAGCAGAAGCAUUCUGCAGAGCUGCAGUCACUGAAAGACGCACACCGAGAGUCCAUGGAGGGCUUCCGCAUGGAGAUGGAGCAGGAGCUUCAGACGCUCCGCUUCGAAUUAGAAGACGAAGGAAAAGCGAUGCUUGCUUCCUUACGAUCUGAACUAAACCAUCAACAUGCAGCUUCAAUUGAUUUGCUACGGCAUAAUCACCAUCAAGAACUGGCAGCAGCGAAAAUGGAGCUAGAGCGGAGCAUCGACAUCAGCCGAAGGCAGAGUAAGGAGCACAUGUGUAGAAUAAGUGACCUACAAGAGGAGCUACGGCACCGAGAGCACCACAUCUCAGACUUAGACAAGGAGGUCCAGCACCUCCAUGAAAACAUUAGUACCCUAACGAAAGAACUGGAGCAUAAGGGGAAAGAAAUUCUCAGAAUCCGAAGUGAAUCCAACCAACAGAUGAGGUUGCAUGAACAAGAUUUAAACAAGAGACUUGAGAAAGAGCUGGAUGUCAUGACAGCAGACCACCUCAGAGAGAAAAAUAUCAUGCGGGCAGAUUUUAAUAAGACUAAUGAGCUACUCAAGGAAAUAAAUGCAGCUUUACAAAUGUCACUAGAAGAAAUGGAAGAAAAGUACCUGAUGAGAGAAUCAAAGCCAGAAGAUAUACAGAUAAUCGCAGAAUUAAAAUCCUUGCUUACAGAGAGAGACCAGGUCAUAAAGAAACUAAUUGAGGAUAAUAAAUUUUAUCAGCUGGAAUUAGUCAAUCGAGAAACUAACUUCAACAAAAUAUUUAACACAAGUCCUACUGUUGGUGUUAUUAACCCCUUGGCUAAGCAAAAGAAGAAGAAUGAUAAGUCCCCAACAAACAGGUUUGUGAGUGUUCCCAAUCUAAGUGCUCUGGAAUCCAGUGGAGUGGGCAAUGGACAUCCUACCCGCUUGGAACCCAUUCCCAAUUCUCCGGUCCAUGAAGUUGAGUUCAACAGCAACAAGCCACUUCCGCAGCCAUUGCCACCCAAAGAGCCCAAGACAUUUUUGAGGUAUCAGUAGGAUGCAUGUGCAUGUGCUCGAGGGACGUGGCCGCUGGAGCUUCCAUUACACAUUGUUGCGUGCCUUGUAAUUCCCCCAAAGACGUCCUCCUCAGAGUGAAGCUUCCCCGGUGACUUCUCCAGAUCCCCAGCGCCAGGAGUGGUUUGCCCGGUACUUCACAUUCUGAACGAAUUGUGCUGGCACAGCUCUGGUGGACUGUGACAAGAGCCUGCCUGCAUCCGCAUCAGUAUGUGCACAGGCUCCCCUGUGUAGAGCACUGUGAAUGAGGUGUUUGUCCAGUUUGAAGAUGCACUGUAUUUCCUGUGAUAGUUAUUGGAAUCACUCUCUGAGGGUACUAUAUUAUGUGUGUAAUUAUAGCAAUUAUUUUUAUUUGAGAUGGAAGUCUUUAAUCUUUGUAAUUACUGCAUAAUAAAUUUUGUUAGAACAAAUGGUUUUUGUUGUUGUUUUCUAUUAAGUGUGCUUUAAACACUUUUUAAUACCAGGUGUAAGACUUGUCAAUAAGUAUCAUUGCAUUAAUGAUAAUUGUUAUUUCAAUAGUCUUCAAAUCAAUAUAGGGAAAUAUAUUCUAUUAAUAACUUUCAAUGUUGUGUAUUUUAACUAAAUUGUCAACAUUUAUAAAUCUAGAAUAAAAGAAUUUAUGUAAA